CCAACCUGACCGCAUAGCUCAGUUGACAGAGCAUUGGCAUUUGGGCUAGUAUUCCAAAGGUCGUAGGUUCAAAUCCCACUGUGGCCAGGCAUAUUUUUCAAGCCUGCCCGGUGUGGAUAUACACUCAGAGUAACAUCACACAAGCAUCUCAUUUCAUCAAGUUCCUCCAGAUAUUCAAACACUUCCUGUGAAAGAGCCAAUUCCAAGUAUUUAAUCAUUUCUGGUCACUUCCUUUCUAUUUAUGAUUGGUUAGUUGCACAAACAACAAAGGUGAUUGGUGCAUUCAAAC